UGGGGAAUAUUGCACAAUGGAGGGAACUCUGAUGCAGCGACGCCGCGUGAACGAAGAAGGCUUUCGAGUCGUAAAGUUCUUUUAUAUGGGAAGAUAAUGACGGUACCAUAAGAAAAAGCCCCGGCUAACUACGUGCCAGCAGCCGCGGUAAUACGUAGGGGGCUAGCGUUGCCCGGAAUCACUGGGCGUAAAGGGUUCGCAGGCGGAAAUGCAAGUCAGGUGUAAAAGGCAGUAGCUUAACUACUGUAAGCAUUUGAAACUGCAUAUCUUGAGAAGAGUAGAGGUAAGUGGAAUUUUUAGUGUAGCGGUGAAAUGCGUAGAUAUUAAAAAGAAUACCGGUGGCGAAGGCGGCUUACUGGGCUCAUUCUGACGCUGAGGAACGAAAGCGUGGGUAGCAAACAGG
rnacentral:rRNA from 1 species